rnacentral:rRNA from 1 species
GACGAACGCUGGCGGCGUGCUUAACACAUGCAAGUCGAGCGGAAAGGCCCCUUGUGGGUACUCGAGCGGCGAACGGGUGAGUAACACGUGAGUAAUCUGCCCUUCACUUCAGGAUAGCUCCCGGAAACGGGGAUUAAUACUGGAUAUGACACAUUCGCGCAUGUGGGUGUGUGGAAAGUUUUUUCGGUGGGGGAUGUGCUCGCGGCCUAUCAGCUUGAUGGUGGGGUAAUGGCCUACCAUGGCUUCGACGGGUAGCCGGCCUGAGAGGGUGACCGGUCACACUGGGACUGAGACACGGCCCAGACUCCUACGGGAGGCAGCAGUGGGGAAUAUUGGACAAUGGGCGGAAGCCUGAUCCAGCAACGCCGCGUGAGGGAUGACGGCCUUCGGGUUGUAAACCUCUUUCAGCACAGACGAAGCGCAAGUGACGGUAUGUGCAGAAGAAGAACCGGCCAACUACGUGCCAGCCGCCGCCGUAACAC